rnacentral:tRNA from 2 species
GGGAUGUUGAUCCAGUGGUUAAGAUGGCUGCCUUCCAUGCGGAAUAGCAGCUUACCGGGGUUCGAAUCCCCGACAUCUCA